rnacentral:pre_miRNA from 1 species
GCGCCUGCCGAUCGCUGUCUUACCAGACAAAUUUAGAUCUUAAUCUAUUCCUGUCUAAUACUGUCUGGUAAUGCCGUCGAUUCGCAUUGGCAA